AUUGAACGCUGGCGGCAGGCCUAACACAUGCAAGUCGAACGGCAGCACAGAAGAGCUUGCUCUUUGGGUGGCGAGUGGCGGACGGGUGAGUAAUGUCUGGGAAACUGCCCGAUGGAGGGGGAUAACUACUGGAAACGGUAGCUAAUACCGCAUAACGUCGCAAGACCAAAGUGGGGGACCUUCGGGCCUCACACCAUCGGAUGUGCCCAGAUGGGAUUAGCUAGUAGGUGGGGUAAUGGCUCACCUAGGCGACGAUCCCUAGCUGGUCUGAGAGGAUGACCAGCCACACUGGAACUGAGACAAGGUCCAGACUCCUACGGGAGGCAGCAGUGGGGAAUAUUGCACAAUGGGCGCAAGCCUGAUGCAGCCAUGCCGCGUGUAUGAAGAAGGCCUUCGGGUUGUAAAGUACUUUCAGCGGGGAGGAAGGCGGUGAGGUUAAUAACCUUGCCGAUUGACGUUACCCGCAGAAGAAGCACCGGCUAACUCCGUGCCAGCAGCCGCGGUAA
rnacentral:rRNA from 1 species